rnacentral:tRNA from 1 species
GCCCUAGUAGCUUAGACAUCAAAGCACCGGUCUUGUAAACCGAAGAUCGAAGGUGUAAAAUCCUUCCUAGCGCC